UAAUUGAGUUGAUUAACACAGGCCAC
rnacentral:piRNA from 1 species